rnacentral:antisense_RNA from 1 species
UCAGGUAUGCCACGUGUUGCAAGCUCAUCCCUCGGACCUGUGAAAAAACUCCAAAAAUUGGAUUCCGGCCCUCAAACCCCACAACAGGACUUAAUUAACCUUGCCUUCAAGGUGUACAAUAAUAGAGAAGAGGCAGCCAAGUGACAACACAUCUCUGAGUUACAGCUACUUGCCUCCGCUGUCUUACAAGACAGCCCACAACCACGUCUCCAGCAUACGAAAACUUCAGAACAUCCAAGCCACAGCUCCCAGGGGCUCCUUCAAAACCUCCUCGUGGACCUUGCUUCAAAUGCCAAAAGCCUGGCCACUGGGCCUGAGAAUGCCCACAGCUCGGGAUUCCUCCUAGGCCAUGCCCUGUCUGUGUGGGCCCCCACUGGAGGUUGGACUGUCCGACUCACAUCGCCACCAUUCCUAAAGCUCCUGGAGCUCAAACCCAACGUUCCUUGGCUGACUCCUUCCCACAUCUGCUCGGCUUAGCAGCUGAAGACCGACACUGCCCAAUCGCCUUGGAAGCCCCCUGGACCAUCACAGACGCGCGUGACAGUCCCCAGCACUGCAGAGAUCUGAGAUCCAAUAACAGUCUGCAGACGUCUACUCACACCAUAGCCACUGCUCUGGGAUUCCCAUUCCAUUUAGGCCUCCUGAUUGCCCCAUGUGUCCUUACAAUAAACACCACUUCACUUA